AUGAAGAGGAUUAUACCGCACCGUCCCAUCAGCGUAGACGAGGACGGCGACACUGCUGGACUUGGCGACGGUGUCACAGGAGCUGGCGAAACCGGUUCAUGGGCCGGCGGAGCGCAGGGGGAAGCAGCCACUGCACCCGGCGCUGGUGAAACCGGUUGUCGGGCCAGAGAGGCGCAGGUGGGCGCUGGCGAAGCUGGUGCACGGGCAGGCGAGGAGCCAGCCGCAGCACCAGGCGGUGCAGACCCUGCAUGCGUAGGCGGGGACCCCGCCUGGGAAGCCGCGCUGCCAUGCACGUCGAGCGGCGUAUUGACCGUGUCCAGACGCGGAAAAUCCUGCACAGGAAAGGAGCUGGCUAGGCCAGAGCCGAACGGCCUGGUGAUCAAGGGCGAGGGCGAGAAGGAGCCCUGGGACGGCGACGACGACUCCGCGAUGCCGAGGUACAGCCGCCGCAUCAAGGUGCCCGCCGACGCGUUCAAGAUGGACAAGAUCAAGGCCGAGAUGAAGAACGGCGUGCUCAGGGUGACCGUGCCCAGGCUGAAGGAGGAGGAGCGCAAGGACGUGUUCCAGCUUGUGCUGUUUUCUGUGUCCUGUCUGUAUUGGCUUGGUUUUCCCAGACCUGCUUCGAAAGGGGAUGCCGCCGCCGGGGGUGGAUCCUCCAAGCUCAAACUUUUACUGAAAAAAGUGGGGAUGCAGCCAACAAGAAAUACUCAGCGGGGAAUUAGGAAAGAAAAGCCAACGAGGAAUUGCAAAAAAAAGGGAUCCGUCGAAUGGCGUCAAGGAUGCUUGCUUCCCCUCGGCUUCGCCUCCCCAUCAAAGCACCAAACCUUCACCACCUUGUUAACCCACCUCUUUGCCUGCUUAAUCUUUAUGUGCCAAGUACUCCAUGUGUGCUCCCUCGCUCAAUGUGCCGCGCCUGGUUGUAGAUACGUGGUGUCACACACAUCGACACAUCGAGCCACGUCUUCUUGCAUUGUGCGCUCGUCUCAUCUCAUCUGCACCAACAUUUUGCACCACGUCUUCCAGCACCGUGAGCUCCAUGCAUCGAGCUUCGGUGCCUCCUAG
rnacentral:rRNA from 1 species